rnacentral:rRNA from 1 species
CAGUAGCCGCGGGAAAACGUAGGGUGCAAGCGUUAAUCGGAAUUACUGGGCGUAAAGCGUGCGCAGGCGGUUCUAUAAGACAGAUGUGAAAUCCCCGGGCUCAACCUGGGAACUGCAUUUGUGACUGUAGAGCUGGAGUACGGUAGAGGGGGAUGGAAUUCCGCGUGUAGCAGUGAAAUGCGUAGAUAUGCGGAGGAACACCGAUGGCGAAGGCAAUCCCCUGGACCUGUACUGACGCUCAUGCACGAAAGCGUGGGGAGCAAACAGGAUUAGAUACCCGGGUAGUCCCUGUCUCUUAUAU